UACGAGGGGUGCAAGCGUUGCUCGGAAUUACUGGGCGUAAAGCGCACGCAGGUGGCUGAGCAAGUCGAUUGUGAAAGCCCUGGGCUUAACCUGGGAAUUGCAGUCGAAACUACUCGGCUAGAGUAUGGGAGAGGGUAGUGGAAUUCCCGGUGUAGCGGUGAAAUGCGUAGAUAUCGGGAGGAACAUCAGUGGCGAAGGCGGCUACCUGGCCCAAUACUGACACUCAGGUGCGACAGCGUGGGGAGCAAACAGG
rnacentral:rRNA from 1 species